rnacentral:lncRNA from 1 species
UUUGUUGAAUGCUGGCUACCCCAAAAUACCUCCCGAACAACUCAUGAGAAGACAAAGCCGAAUUUAUUCUUACCAUGAUGGACAAGCAUCAUUGGAAACCCCAGAGGUUCAAGGUAUAGGGAAGGUCGCAAGGCACCAAAGGGAAGAGGAUGGAAGAAAAAGAAAGAUGGUAGGAACAUUCACAUAUAUUUCUACUGAGUACAAUAUACUUUUUUCAUUGAAUUAAUAUUUUAUUGAACCCUCAUAUACCCUAAUGGAUUAGGUUUUGUUAAUCACAUUUUAGCUGUAUGAAGUACCCCUAACAGGUUGCAAGGAUUAGGACAUGAGUAUCUUUGGGGGGAGGACAUUAUUCAGUCUACCAUAUUCAGAUCUGUCUUUUUGUAAAAAAUAAAUAAUACAUCAUUUAGUUUGAUUAUGAAAGU